CGGGUGAGUAACACAUAUCCCACCUGCCGUCUACUCUUGGACAGCCUUCUGAAAGGAAGAUUAAUACAAGAUGGCAUCAUGAGUCCGCAUGUUCACAUGAUUAAAGGUAUUCCGGUAGACGAUGGGGAUGCGUCCCAUUAGAUAGUAGGCGGGGUAACGGCCCACCUAGUCUUCGAUGGAUAGGGGUUCUGAGAGGAAGGUCCCCCACAUUGGAACUGAGACACGGUCCAA
rnacentral:rRNA from 1 species